UACGUAGAGUGCGAGCGUUGUCCGGAAUUAUUGGGCGUAGAGGGCUCGUAGGCGGUCUGUUGCGUCGGGAGUGAAAACUCAGGGCUUAACCCUGAGCCUGCUUCCGAUACGGGCAGACUAGAGGUAUGCAGGGGAGAACGGAAUUCCUGGUGUAGCGGUGAAAUGCGCAGAUAUCAGGAGGAACACCGGUGGCGAAGGCGGUUCUCUGGGCAUUACCUGACGCUGAGGAGCGAAAGUGUGGGGAGCGAACAGG
rnacentral:rRNA from 1 species